GAUGAACGCUGGCGGCGCGCCUAACACAUGCAAGUCGAACGGCACCCCUCCUCGGAGGGAAGCGAGUGGCGAACGGCUGAGUAACACGUGGAGAACCUGCCCCCUCCCCCGGGAUAGCCGCCCGAAAGGACGGGUAAUACCGGAUACCCCGGGGUGCCGCAUGGCACCCCGGCUAAAGCCCCGACGGGAGGGGAUGGCUCCGCGGCCCAUCAGGUAGACGGCGGGGUGACGGCCCACCGUGCCGACAACGGGUAGCCGGGUUGAGAGACCGACCGGCCAGAUUGGGACUGAGACACGGCCCAGACUCCUACGGGAGGCAGCAGUGGGGAAUCUUGCGCAAUGGGGGGAACCCUGACGCAGCGACGCCGCGUGCGGGACGGAGGCCUUCGGGUCGUAAACCGCUUUCAGCAGGGGAGAGUCAAGACUGUACCUGCAGAAGAAGCCCCGGCUAACUACGUG
rnacentral:rRNA from 1 species